AACGAACGCUGGCGGCAUGCCUAACACAUGCAAGUCGAACGAGACCUUCGGGUCUAGUGGCGCACGGGUGCGUAACGCGUGGGAACCUGCCCUUAGGUUCGGAAUAACUCCCCGAAAGGGGUGCUAAUACCGGAUAAUGUCUUCGGACCAAAGAUUUAUCGCCUUUGGAUGGGCCCGCGUUGGAUUAGCUAGUUGGUAGGGUAAAAGCCUACCAAGGCGACGAUCCAUAGCUGGUCUGAGAGGAUGAUCAGCCACACUGGGACUGAGACACGGCCCAGACUCCUACGGGAGGCAGCAGUGGGGAAUAUUGGACAAUGGGCGAAAGCCUGAUCCAGCAAUGCCGCGUGAGUGAUGAGGGCCUUAGGGUUGUAAAGCUCUUUUACCCGGGAUGAUAAUGACAGUACCGGGAGAAUAAUCUCCGGCUAACUCCGUG
rnacentral:rRNA from 1 species